rnacentral:tRNA from 1 species
UGGGGAUUAGCUCAAGGCUAGAGCACUUGGCUCAUAUGCAUGAGGACCUGGGUUCAAUCCCCAGUACCACAA